GCGAGCAGAUUUGGUCCGUGUGUGUGUGCGCGUGUGUGCGUGCACACGUGUGUGCAUGAAGUCAGAGUACAAAAAUCACAGAAAUGCGAAGCUGGCAUACCGUGAAAGCUGCUGGAAAUGUUUCACGUUGAAAGACAAAAGCUGAUGUGUUCCCUACACAAAUUUUCUUGGCUCUGUGAUUAUCUGAGCAAAGGUGCGCAUUUCUGUAUGCGUUUGGAAAGAGUUUUAUUGACAAGCCUAAAUAAGCGAUUUCUCAGAGCACAGACAUGGUCUUUCUAAGAACACAGAUAUCUCUUAAGAAAAUCUGCACCAAGACAUUCAAAAAGCACUGCUGCACGUGGGAAGUUGCAUUUCACAAUCCUCUCACGACACCGCCUCCGUUAUGCAUGCCAAUAAAACCAGGGCACAGGCCCUCAGAGGUACCUGAACACCAAGAGGGAAGCAUAGGGUUAUGCUGAUUGCCCAGAUUCACCCUGGUGACACUCCUUGUUUUAUAUAAUAAAUCAAUACCCCCCUGUGGGGGAAAAGCUGGAAGUAGCUUAUCGCUGCAUCUUAAACUACAAACAGGUCUCCGUCCCUGCUCAGCUUCUCAUUGCUGCCAUCUCAGAAUUUGCUGGCAAACUGCUUUUUUAUGUCUGCCUCUGGCUCAUUUGGCCUGAAAUCAAUAAACCUGAAGACAAAAGCGAGAAAGUUUCUGCCAACUCUUCAGCUUCAGCGAGGUGAACACGUGCAUCUGUGGCCCUCGCACGUGUGUGCACAUCACCCUGCAGUGGGAGCAGAAGUCUGUGUCCAUCCUGGGUACUGCUCUCUACUCCCCAAGCACCCCAAAAGCUCAGAACUCCAGCCUGUGACAGCUUUUCCCUUCCAAGAGGGUGACUGACUGGCAGGAAUGGCACUACUGAUAACAUUUGCUUGAUGGAAAUGCAAGAGGAAAACCUAAGCAGGUUAUCCCACCCUUCCUCGUGCCAGGGAAAGUCAUGGGGAAGUUUAGUACUCUUACUCGGCGAACUGAUAAAUUACUUUUCUCCUUCUUCCACACUGUGUUAAAAUACAAAUAAAAAAAUCUUCUUGGCUUUGGUAAUUAGGCCUUUGCCCAUCAUAUGAUUCAAAUGCAUGGAGAGUCAGAAGUAUAUACCAACUUUCCAGGGAUGAAAAUACAGCAGU